GGAAAAGAAACCAAUAGGGAUUCCCUUCGUAGGGGCGACCGAAGUGGGAAGAGCCCAGCGCAGAACCUCCUGGGCCACCCGGCCUGCGGCGGAAUGUUGCGUAAAGGGAAAGGUCGCAGUCAAACCCUACAGUCGCACGAUCUCUAAGUUAGCCACGAAUCGGCUGUCCCAUCUAAUAGCGGGAUGACUCCAUGGAGGGUGUAAGACCCGUUUGGGCGUGCGUAAAAACUGUAUGGGCUCGGCCUUUUUUCCCUGAGAGUCGCGUUGCUUGAGCAUGCAGCCCAAAGCAGGUCGUAAACUCGAUCUAAGUCUAAAUAUUUCCACAGGACCGAUAGCA
rnacentral:rRNA from 1 species